AUGAACCCCCUAGCUAGCCCAGGACCGGAUGGCUUCGGCCCGCUGUUCUACAAAAAAUACUGGAACCUGGUUAAGGCUCACAUCCACUCCUUCAUGACGGACUUCCAAAACCUUAACGCCCAAACUGAAAGCCUUAACAGAGCUCACCUCAUUCUACUACCCAAAAAAGAUCAUGCCAACACUGCCGACGCAUACCGCCCGAUCUCCCUCCAAAAUUGUCCCAUCAAAGCCGUUGCGAAAGUGCUUACCAACAGACGAAAACCAAUAAUACCACUGCUUGUCCAUGGCAACCAAACUGGGUUCAUCCCAGGGCGUAGCAUAGCCGAAAACUUUAUCUUCGCUGCAGACCUCAUAGGCGCAUGCCAUACUAGAAAAGCCCCAACCAUGGUCAUUAAAUUGGACUUUAGCAAAGCCUUCGACUCCCUCUCUUGGGACUCUCUUACUUCCAUCUUACGCUGCCGCGGCUUCCCGCCAAAAUUCUCAUCAUGGGUUCAUGACCUCCUAGCAACCGGGAAAACUGCCGUCAUGUUGAAUGGGAUCCCCGGAAACUGGAUAAAUUGCAAAAAUGGGCUCAGGCAGGGUGACCCUAUCUCGCCCUACCUCUUCAUCAUCGUUGCUGAUCUCCUACAACAAAUGAUCCAGCAAGACUGCGAUCUAGCUCAUCUCAGUCACCCCCUGUUCUCACAUCUCCCGCCAACCGUCUUACAAUAUGCUGAUGACACCCUCAUCAUCGCCAAGGCAUCCAAUCCCGCUGCUCAACAGUUAAAAUACAUCCUUCACGAUUUCGCCAUGGCCACUGGCCUCACUAUCAACUUCACAAAAACAACGUUCGUACCCAUGCACAUCAGCACUGCCAUGGUAGACUCCAUUGCCUCCACCUUGCACUGCCCAACCUCAAGCUUUCCGCAGAUCUACCUAGGCCUUCCCCUAACACCCACACGACUACCUACAAAUGCCUUCCUACCGAUCAUCGAACGUUGCCGUAAAUUCUUGACGGGCUGGCGCGCAAAAAUCCUCUCCAAAGGGGAUAGGCUCAUCCUAUUAUCGGCUGUCCUCGACUCCCUUCUAGUCUACUUCAUGUCAGUCUUCCCCAUUCCCAAGAGUGUUCUAAAAACCCUAGACUCUUCGAUGAGCCUUCUUUUGGGCUGCGGAGGAAACUUGCACUGGUGCUCAAUGCUUAGUUGCCUGGAAAAAUGUGUGUAA
rnacentral:rRNA from 1 species